GAACUAAAAAAAAAAAAAACUUUAAAAUAUCAUUAGUGGGCUGGGUGUGGUGGCUCAUGCCUGUCAUCCCAGCACUUUGGGAGGCCAAGGCAGAUGGAUCACCUGAGGUCAGGGGUUCUACACCAGCCUGGCCAACACGGCAAAACCCUGUCUCUACUAAAAAUACAAAAAUUAGCUGGGUGUGGUGGCAUGCGCCUAUAAUCCCAGCUACUUGGGAAGCUGAGGCAGGAGAAUUGCUUGAACCCAGGAUGUGGAGGCUGCAGUGAGCAGAGAUUGUGCCACUGCACUCCAACCUGGGCAACACAGUGAGACUCCAUCUCAAAAAAAAAUACAUAUAUAUAUCUAAUUAGUGGAAUUAAAAUGCUCCAUUAGAAAAUAUUCACCCCAUGCAAAAGAAAGCAGUUAAGGAAGGAUACAGAAACAACGUGCUCCGUGAGGUGCAUGAAACAGAAAAUAAGAUGUGGCAGACACAGACCCAACUAUAUCAAUCAAAACAGUAGAUGUGAAUGGAGUGAACAACCCAAUGAAAAGCAGACACAGAUCCAACUAUAUAAAUCAUAACAUUAGAUGGGAAUGGAGUGAACAACCCAAUCAAAAGCAGACACAGACUCAACUAUAUCAAUCGUAACAUUAGAUGUGAAUGGAGUGAACAACCCAAUCAAUAGCAGACACAGACUCAACUAUAUCAAUCGUUAAGAAUGAAGAACCCGAUCAAAAGCAGACACAGACCCAACUAUAUCAAUCAUAACAUUAGAUGUGAAUGAAGUGAACAAUCAAAAGCAGACACAAACCCAACUAUAUCAAUCGUUAUUAAUGGCAUGAACAACCCAAUCAAAGGCAGACACAGACCCAACUAUAUCAAUCGUUGUGAAUGGAGUGAAGAACCCAAUCAAAAGCAGACACAGACCCA
rnacentral:lncRNA from 10 species